rnacentral:lncRNA from 1 species
UAAUAAACUCUUUCCACAGAUGCUGUGAUAGCUCAUAGCAUCAUCAAGUCUCUGAAAGUGUGGUGCUGUUGUGUCCCUUUUUGGCUGCAUCACUUUUGAAGAGCCAGAAUCCUGCACUGCCUGUCAGCUGAACUACGUUUCCACAAGUUUGCACAUUCCCAGCCCAUCACAAGUCUUAGGAGCUGCUCUCUAUCUCUCUGCAAGCUCACAG